AUAUCAAUAAGCGGAGGAAAAGAAACUAACAAGGAUUCCCCUAGUAACUGCGAGUGAAGCGGGAAAAGCUCAAAUUUAAAAUCUGGCAGCCUUUGGCUGUCCGAGUUGUAAUUUAGAGAAGUGUUACCCGCGCUGGACCGUAUACAAGUCCUCUGGAAUGGGGCGUCAUAGAGGGUGAGAAUCCCGUCUUUGAUACGGACUACCAGUGCUUUGUGGUGUGCUCUCGAAGAGUCGAGUUGUUUGGGAAUGCAGCUCAAAAUGGGUGGUAAAUUCCAUCUAAAGCUAAAUACAGGCGAGAGACCGAUAGCGAACAAGUACCGUGAGGGAAAGAUGAAAAGAACUUUGGAAAGAGAGUUAAACAGUACGUGAAAUUGCUGAAAGGGAAACGCUUGAAGUCAGUCGCGUUGGCUGAGAAUCAGCCUUGCUUCUUUGCUUGGUGUACUUCUCAGUCGAUGGGUCAGCAUCAGUUUUGACUGCUGGAUAAAGUUCAAGGGAAUGUGGCAUCUUCGGAUGUGUUAUAGCCCAUGUUCGUAUACAGCAGUUGGGACUGAGGAACUCAGCACGCCGCAAGGCCGGGUUUUUAACCACGUACGUGCUUAGGAUGCUGGCAUAAUGGCUUUAAUCGACCCGUCUUGAAACACGGACCAAGGAGUCUAACAUGCCCGCGAGUGUUUGGGUGGAAAACCCGAGCGCGUAAUGAAAGUGAAAGUUGAGAUCUCUGUCAUGGAGAGCAUCGACGCCCAUACCUGAAGUUUACUGACGGAUAUGCGGUAGAGCGUGU
rnacentral:rRNA from 1 species